CUUUCCAGACCUUGCGUUGCCGAUUAGGGGACUCCGGCGGCUCCGCGGCCCUCUUUUUUCCAGGCGGCCGGGAAGAUGGCGGACAUUCAGACAGAACGUGCCUACCAAAAGCAGCCGACCAUCUUCCAAAACAAGAAGAGGGUCCUCUUGGGGGAAACUGGCAAGGAGAAGC